GUGUGGUUUUAACAGAGGUGGUACUUGAUCCUCCUUAGCAAAAGCACACCUCCGGUAGUCCUGUGGUUAAAGCAGGCUUAUUGCUAACUUUAAAGCAGGUUUCUAUAACCAUUUGUUUCAAAUUGCAUAGGGAUUGUUAUGGGCAGUCUGGCAGAGCCAGAGGGUAGGGGAAGAGGGCAGACCAGUCUGUGCAGAAAUGAUCCCUAUAGAACAACCAAGAAACUUUUGCUGUCUUCACACUCCAGUGAAGUUGAGAGUCCCAUAUAGACCAAUGAGAGCCACAGGCCACACUCCAGUGAAGUCUGUCCUUAGGUGAACCUACCCUGGUUGAUGCUACAAGCAGUUCUUUCCAUGGGAAAGUAGCUCUUUGGAAGAAAGAACAUUCCUUCAAGAACUGGAUCCAGCAAGUCAUGAACAAAUAAUGUAAUUGUGAUUGUUGCUUAAUGUUAUCCAAGGAGAAUGAUUGGGUGGAUUUACAGCAUAGACUUUGAUUAGGUUGGUAAUGAUAUUUUAAAUUCCUUUACCCAUUCGUGUUGCUAGAAAAACACUCUAAAAUAUUUUGGUAGCAUGAAAAACAAAGCAGAAUGUACAGACCUUACAACAGAAUGAAUCCUAGUGCUACAGAAUUAAUGUUUGAUUAUUAGAUUGCCUUAAUUUUAAUUUGUGUCCCACUCCCCCUCCCAGUGAUGCAUCCAUUGUCAAUUGUCAAUAUUAACAUUAUUUCAGCUGAAGUGAUACAAUUGUGCAAUAGGAUUAUGGCCUUGUCAAUAGACCUGCAAUUUGCACUCCCAUUCCCAUGCACGAAAACCUCAGGGAAUUAAUUUUCAGAUCACAUGAUUCUAUCAAUUGAAGGGGUCAAAGAGUAAUUUCCAAUUUGUGUCUCCUGUGCCUGCAUUAAGGGCCUGUGCAUUGUAGAGAGUACAGUGGGGAGUAAAUAAAUACAGCACCUGGUGGAAAGUGCAUGAGAUUCUUCUCAGAGUUCCUUGUUUUGUUGGAUUUUUGUGUUGUUUCUUGUAACUGGGAGAUACUGAUCAUGUCCAGAUAGCUAAGCUUUCUGUUUCCUUCAGAACCAUAAGUGGUAUGGUAAUAAACUAUAUAUUUAGA